AUUGAACGCUAGCGGCAGGCCUAACACAUGCAAGUCGAGCGAGCGGCGGACGGGUGAGUAAUGUAUUGUGACUGCCCGAUAGAGGGGGAUAACUACUGGAAACGGUAGCUAAUACCGCAUACUAUCGUAUAACCCAUAUGGGAUUAGCUAGUGGGUGGGGUAAAGGCUCACCAAGGCAACGAUCCGUAGCUGGUUUGAGAGGACGACCAGCAAAACUGGGACUGCGACACGGCCCAGACUCCUACGGAGGCAGCAGUGGGGAAUUUUGGACAAUGGGGGAAACCCUGAUCCAGCCAUCCCGCGUGUAUGAUGAAGGCCUUCGGGUUGUAAAGUACUUUUGGCAGAGAAGCGGUAUCUGCAGAAUAAGCACCGGCUAACUACGUGCCAGCAGCCGCGGUAAUUC
rnacentral:rRNA from 1 species